UUCACAUGAUGAUGAUGAUAGGGGCAACGCCCUUGCCAAGGGGGAGGGCGUCGGCAGGGGCGGCGGGGGCAGCAGUCCCAUAUUCUAAUAAUGAUGAUGAUGGGGGCACCGCCCUUGCCAAGGUGGGAGGCGUCAGCAGGGGCGGCGGGGGCAGCAGCCCCAUAUUCUAAUGAUGAUGAUGAUGGGGGCACCGCCCUUGCCAAGGGGGAGGCCGUCGGCAGGGGCGGCGGGGGCAGCAGCCCCAUAUGCACACGAUGACAGACAAACUCGCGAGUCGAGACAAAGACAACGAGGAAGACAGGACGAACACAUAGAUGACUACAACGGUGGGAGGGGCCGCGAGUUUACAAAGACAACGAUGAAGACAGGACAAACAUCGACACACACAAAGAUCGCCGCGGUGGGUCGUGCAGUCCGCGGUGGAGGGUGGUGGCGUAGUCCCUCCUGCUGCUGCUGGCGUGGACGACCAGAGCGUGUUGAGGGCCGCCGUGGUCGUGGUGGCGGCGGCUGGGGCUCGGUGGCCGAGGAGCAGCACGGCCUCGUGCUGAGUUGAGGAGGUGCUCUCCUUGGGGCCGCCAUGUCCGGACCAGGACGGUUUCUCGCGGCACCGAUGGUUGCAUCCAAACCAACAGUUUAACCCAAAC